CGUGCACCUUCGGUGCACGACGGAGAAUGGAAAUCGGUUGCGUCGGAGUGAGCGAGAUGAUACGAUCAGGAACGUAGCAAGGAACGCACCUUUCGUUGAGCUUGUUCGAAAGUCUUUCGCUGAGCGAGAGAUAAUUGGGUAAUGCGCCGGCUUUUUGCGACAUCGCGCGGUAAGUUUCGAUCUCCGCUUCGAUGGAAAUGUCUGUAAACAUAACCUCUACGGAUACACUGAGAAUGACGAUUUUUUGGUCUUGUCAUGAAUGUUGUUCAUGAAUGGUCGUUCGUAAUUGAUGAUCUCGACGUGAUUGAUAGAGGGUAAUAGAAGUGAUAUAAGGUCUGCGGGCCGAUGUCCGGAAUCCUUUAAUCCAGCGUAAACUCGUAAAGUACGAAAAUUUGCAAACUUCAAAGCGCAUGGGAAUGAGCAUGUAGCAUUCAGCAUUUUUACUCUAUUAUUGUAACGUGAUAAAAUCUAACGAUUGUAUGACGUACUGCGGGUGUUCUACUUAUGAACGAGCGAAAUAUCGAUGCACGCAUGUGCUGUGUUAAAGUCUAAGCUGUUGUACCAAAGGUGAACGUUUAUUACCUGGAUCCUGAACGGUUGGGUUAAUCUGAGGACAAGGGUUUAAUGCCCUUGGGUUCUUAUGUCUUCCGAGAGGAUUUUAGGCUGACCUGCCAAAUCUUGAUUAAACGUAAUCAAGAUUAAACGUAAUCCGUCAAUGAAAUUGUCAACAACAAUUGCUGGUUACGUCACUUAUUGUCCAACAGUAACCAAGGAAUUAAUCAUCCUAUAUAUAUAUAUCAGUAAAAUAGGUGUAAUACUUGACUGAGCAAUUUCACUGGCUGAGUUAAACGUUGAUUGGCGCAAUUGGAGUGUAUGAUAAAAGCGAAACCUUCAGACAUCAUCGCUUGGACCGUAUCUUUUGCGCGACAAGAUUACGCGGAUGGCGAGUACGGUCCUGUGUCGUUCGAGUUGGGAAGUGCGCGUCGGCGGCGCCCUAUGGGCGCCAUCGUGCCGCGCACGAUGGUCGACAACGGUUCAGCUACGGCAAGCUUCGAGCAGCCGCGAGAUCUCUCCUUUUCCCCUUCUUUUGCGCUUUUCGGAGCCGCGUGCGCGUUCGUGCGACGGAUCGUGAUACUUGGACGCGCCCGGACCCUCCGUCCGAGGCGAGUCGCGGAGCGUCGACGCGACGCGACGCGGCGCGGCGCGGCGUGGCGGCCUCUUGGAAAGGCGCGAAUGUCUAUGCGCGGCGCGUCACCGUGAAAUCUAGAACCCGGCUAGAAUCUGGAAUCUUUCUUCGCUCGAGAGCGCACGGAUAGCGGGAUACACGCGAUCACAUUCACGUGUUUUUCCCUGGUACAUUUCAGCGUUCCUCCCGUAAUUGCGGCAAUUACCGCUAAAUGUCGCUGCGAAUAUCGGCCUGUCCGAGAGCUUUCCGAAUGGAACGAACUUCUAAAAGAAGCCUGAAAGUUUCAGAUGUCUCUUGAACGCCCUUAACAUGUUAUUUAUUACCAGCAUGAGUCACCGGUGCAUGCAUGGGCCCUCAUCGUCAUAAUAUAAGCCAAGUUUGUUUAACAAAUAACAUAUUUCAACAGAAUUGUAAAAGUAUCUUAUACUCAUGUUCAAUUUUAGAGUUAAAAUUUUCAAUCGCCUGACAGCAGGCAGUUCAGUUUUCGUCAGAAUAGAACGUGAACCACGAGUGAUUCCACGAGUGUGGAAUGUGUUAAAGAAUCUUUGAUGAUCUUUUGAAGUCGUACGAAAUGUCUCAGAGGAUAUCUGAUGAAAUUGGCUUCUAUUGUCCGCCUUGACAGAACCUUGACAGACCGCGUGAAAUCGCCUGAAUCUACCUGAGCGGACAUAUUCAUCGAUUCAACUUGAGGUCUUUCAAAUCGCGGCUGGGUGAAGAACCUCUCGUGGUCUUUUGCGAAUUAUAUUUCACUAGAUACAAUCGCUACAUGAUCGUUUUCUUGCAGGGGCGGCGCGGCUGUAGGAGAAAGAGAGAGAGAGAGAGAGAGAGAGAGAGAGAAAGGAAGGAGCGAACUUUUUGGCGGGAAUCGGAAGAAAACGCCGAGUGUGCGCAAUUGAACGCUACAGGGGUGUGCAUCACGCUGCGCUUUCAAGUAGCAACACGCGGCGCAUGCCGUCAGCGCGUCGUGCGACUCGGCACGGCGUGACCUGUUACGACGACGUGAGGGCGGCUCGCUACCUCUUUCUGGCCAGCAACAACCUUUUCACGCUUGAGUCGAAACCGAAUGCGCCGCGUCGGUAUCACGUCCGGCCGCGGUAUCGAUUUCAGACAGUGCGAAAAAUCCUUCUCCUGGCGAGAUGCAGCGCACGACACGGAGUUAAGAGUGCGUUCACUCUGCACAAUUGUAGAAAAAUGGAAGGCAGGCGAGUCGAGAGUCAUCACGAUAGGCGAAUCUUGCUCUGCCGGCGUGCAUUUGAUGCGAUGGAUUUGAAGUCAGCGGAAAUUCUCGCGAAAAUUCCUUCGUCGAGAGAAUCAAUUUCGAAAGGCGGCGAGGAUCUUUCUCGCGCCCUCGAUUGAGCGAGAGAAAACGUGCUCUGAAUACAUUUAGAGGAAUCUACAAUGAAACAUUUCUCGAUAUGCAAUUUGCACAUUGGCUCGACUUUUUAUCGUGAAUAUACAACUUUAGGAAAGACUCAGAAGAAGGUCUCGUCAUCCUGGUGCUAGUCGUCAUGUUUUAGAUCUGUUCUUCGCGAAUUUUCCACGAACUUUCCACGAAUUUUCCAUUGAAUGCAUUCAAUGAGCUCGAAAUUCGAAGAAAAGGACUGUCGAAGCGUUUAACUGUCGACAAAUAAUAGGAUCUGUUUUUCUUUGUCCGAACUGGGUUGAACCUUUUAGAGAAAGAGAAUAAAAUAAGUGUAUAAUGUUGAAGAGAAAUAGAUGGAGAAAUUUAGUUCAAUGCUAGUUUGCACAAAAAAAAGAAAGAGAGAGAGGAAAAAAGACGUAUUUAAAAAAGGGAAGGUCUAAUUUUCCACGAACGUGUUCGAAUACGUACGUGUCUCGGCGCGUCAAGAACACAAAUGGAUCGAAUAUACGUGAGAGCAACAAUGGUGGAAGAAAGCGAGCGAGAAGAGACCCAGGGCCAGGCUCGACCGUGCGUUCACUCUGGGACACAAGUCUGAAAACGCUCAUCUAUUCGGCGCCAGCUACACAAGGGUCGCUGAUGGUGGAAGUAUAUUUCAUUCGUCGGGAGGAACGGAGAGUCCCACCACGGUUGGUUCGAAUGAACGGACGAGUGGAAGCACAAAAGAGCGAAAUCCGUGUCCCGCUGAGGCAUCCGCGCAGGCCCUUGGAUCAGCCUCUCUCUUUCUUGGGCCUUCUCUCCCUCUUUCUUUUCUUUACGUACAACGUAAACCUCAGGCCGGUACGUGCCGAGAAGCGCGCCCCUUGGAUUUCUGUGAGCAAUAGUCGGAAAAAUAAAUGCGCGCGUAAAUCUGCCAUCGAUGCGGCCAGAGUUUGUCGAAAGUGCGUUUGUUCGAAAUUUAUCUCAGCAUAUAAGUUUAUCUGUUUCUUUUGUGAAUUUAAAAAGCGCGUUAACACACUAAAACUACCGGAGGAGUCAAGGUGGCCUCCUCCUCAGUGACUUCUUAUUAAAAUUACUCAGGCUUUUCCCUGUAAUGGCACGUUAUAUUUUUAAUCGACAUUGACACGACAAAUUAACAGAAAUGAAUGAAAGCUUUUCCCUGGCAAUGCUCAUUUUUUCAAACACACCGUCGGAAAUAAUUUCGACUGCUCUGGCGAAGAUAGAUUAGUAGUUGUAGUGUCAAGAGGAGAAUUUCCGUCUUGUGUUACGCUGUAUAGAUUUAAGGAGGAUAAUAACGCGCCGGUGAAACAAGAGGCAAAUAACGUGGAGCGCCGUCAGGCGUUCUUUAUCGCUGUAAUCUUUUAUUCAAUUUGUUACACGAGAUAGUACGAGAUAAUGUCCCACGUCGGCGCGUUAUUCAAAUCUUCCUUGUUCAACAACGGAGAGCUGAUACAUGUUUCUUUCUUUUCUCUUCUUGCUCAGCGGCACAUACAUUGUAUCCUCUCUCAAGCGACGGACUUCUCCCGACGAGCGACUCCCGGUCAAGAUUAGUCGGUAGAACAUUGGAUAAUCGAUCGUAAUUGCGUCUAUUUGACGAAGGGUUCGGCGAGCCGGCACGAGAGUGCAUUCCCUCGCAUUCGACCGCUGUCAUCGUUGCCGAAUGUUCUAAAUCGAAAUAUAAAUCUAACGGUCAGUUGCAGAGCAAGAAACGGUCGACGCGUUGCGCUCCGCGUUUGGUUAUUAUUAGCCGUCGAGUAAUCUCGGUGUUUAAUCGCGCGUUCUAAUGGAAAAAAAAGUCGAGAUAACCGGCAUGUCAGGUAUAUCUCUUGUUAAUUUCCUUCAAGGAUUCUCACAGGUUCUUCUUUUUCUAUCUCUCCCUUGGCCUCCCUUACCCCUCCACCGUCCUCUCUCUCUCUCUCUCUCUCUCUCCCCCCCUCUCUCUCUCUCUCUCUCGAUCCUCGAUCCUGGAUCUUAAUCGACCGUCGUUACUUUCAUCGUUGCCGUUUGGCGCCGAGAUAAUUAAUCGUCCUGCUCACUGCCGCUUCGAGUGGGCCGACGAAGUGGCUGUGGCUCGGUGGUUUAUCACAAAAAGGAAUAACGAAAAGGCGUGCGGAGGGAGCAAGGGAAGACGAGAGGAGAACAGAGAGAUGGACGGGGGGAGUCCAGCAGCACGUUGGAGUUGAAAUGAAUUUGCUCGAUAGCUCGCGUAAAAGAGACGACGACGACGACGACGACGACGGCAACGCGCGUGCUCGACGGCUACCUGCUACGAUAACAGUUCACUUCCUCCAACUGGGAACGGGACUCGUGCCUACGCACAAGCGGAAUAAGGGAUAUCUUUAGAGGCGGUUUUUAUCGCUAAGAGUCAGGUGUGAAUUGGGGCCACUGGUGGGCCGAUCAAAGAAGACGCGCCGCUGAAGCGAACGCGAAGCGAAGAGGAGACGGCGACCGGGCAAGAUUAAUCGGUGUCGAUCGACAGAUCGACGACGCGCCGUUCUCGAAGAGCGCGCGAGUCCUCGCGAUUUAACGCGCGAAUCCGACGUCUCUCAAGCGAGACGCUCUUCGCUUCGCUCGCGGUGAUUUUGCAUCGUCAUCGGCUCGAGCCGACGUUCGCGACGAUUGUAAUGGCUAAUUGUAGACUAAUGUUCGAACUUCAGCGUGGGAACUGGAGAAAAGAUUCAACCGUGGAGAAGACCACUGUAGUUGAUUGCGAGAUUAUUUCUUCUCCCACCCUGUUUGCAUCUUGCGGAGUCGUUGCGGAACCCACGCUCGAGCUUGACCACUCGUUACGGCCGAGGGCCUACGUGACGACGUCUUCGACUCAUGAGAGAGCCGCGAUCCGCAUUCGAUUUUAAUCGAGCGUGAUGUAAUCGGGCGUUUAAGCUAAUUAAAAACGACGACUCGCCGCAUUUGGCGCCCCGACGAAUACGCGAUUUCGACGUAAUGGCUAUAUUUAAUUCGUCGCCGGCUGAGUAGGCUUUCAAAUGUGCCAUCGGUUAUUGAUCGAACGCUCUUGUCGUCGCGACGAGACGUUUCGAACGAAAGUGACAAUUGCAAGACGAGAAUAGGACGAGAUAUUGCGAAGGUGCCUCACUUCGGUCCCUUUGUUGAGUCGCGUUGAAACUUGCUGCUGAUGUCGGAUAAAUAAAUAAUAUUAUAUU